rnacentral:lncRNA from 1 species
AUGAGAGACAAGCAGGGUGGCCUUGGAUUAGUAAGACAGGGAGCGGUGGGUGAGGGAGGGGGCAUGCCAGGGAGCAAGGCCACUAAGGACAGAGCCAAGGGCAGGGACAGGGCCAAAGGCAAGGCCAAGGACAGGGCCAAGGGCAGAGCCAAGGACAAGGCCAAGGACAUAGUCAAGGGCAGGGACAAAGCCAAGGGCAGGGACAGGACCAAAGGCAAAGCCAAGGACAGGACCAAGGGCCUAGUCAAGGACAAGACCAAGGGCAGCGUGCAUUUAAAAGGGGAGGAAACAUUCAGCAGCCCCUGGGGGCUUUUGAAGGUAAAUUGUAAAGGGACUCAGGUAGACCUGGCUUCAUUCUGCCCCAUCCCUGACGCUGUGUUACCUCUGGCAGUCCUCACCCUCUGUUGGGCUCCAUGUCCCCACCUAGAAGUGAGAAAGCUGGAUCAGGGGACUUCUGAAGGCCCUGCUGACUCUCCUGGCCCCCGAUCCCCCGAGGUGGGAUUUCCUCCUCUCCUCCACCACCCUCUCAGCACCAGCUCCCGGGAGGAAGGCCUGCCACACGAGGGCAUUGUGAGGUCCAGACAGGAAACAGGCAGAGCCUUCGCCCUGUGCCUGGGACACUUGCUGUCAGCUGCUGGGGCUCCUUCCAGGCCUUGGGUGACCCUCUCUGCCCUGCCAGCCUCCUUGCAAGGGGAGGCUACCUCCAAGAUGGUCCUAGGAGAGGAGGAGGCAGUGUGGGAGGGGCGCCAGGCCCACCUCCACUCAGAGCCCCCUUCUGGCUGCUCCUUGGCCCAACUUGGGGCUUUGGCAAGCUCUUCUGAGAAGGAGAUACUGUGGGUGACAACCAUGACCAUUGUUGGUUAUGAGAGGUGGGGGUAUGAGGCAGCCUCCAUCCAUCCAUCCAUCCAUCCAUCUACCCACCCACCCUCCAUCGAUGCAUCCAUCCAUCCAUCCAUCCAUCCAUCCAUCCAUCCAUCCAUGCAUUCAGCAUUUAUUAAUGCCUGUGGUGUCUAUAGAGAGCACAGCACCCUCCGUGGAUGA